rnacentral:rRNA from 1 species
GAGUGGCGAACGGGUGAGUAACACGUGGGUAACCUGCCCAGAAGUAGGGGAUAACACCUGGAAACAGAUGCUAAUACCGUAUAACAGAGAAAACCGCAUGGUUUUCUUUUAAAAGAUGGCUCUGCUAUCACUUCUGGAUGGACCCGCGGCGUAUUAGCUAGUUGGUGAGGUAAAGGCUCACCAAGGCAGUGAUACGUAGCCGACCUGAGAGGGUAAUCGGCCACAUUGGGACUGAGACACGGCCCAGACUCCUACGGGAGGCAGCAGUAGGGAAUCUUCCACAAUGGACGCAAGUCUGAUGGAGCAACGCCGCGUGAGUGAAGAAGGGUUUCGGCUCGUAAAGCUCUGUUGUUAAAGAAGAACGUGGGUAAGAGUAACUGUUUACCCAGUGACGGUAUUUAACCAGAAAGCCACGGCUAACUACGUGCCAGCAGCCGCGGUAAUACGUAGGUGGCAAGCGUUAUCCGGAUUUAUUGGGCGUAAAGCGAGCGCAGGCGGUCUUUUAAGUCUAAUGUGAAAGCCUUCGGCUCAACCGAAGAAGUGCAUUGGAAACUGGGAGACUUGAGUGCAGAAGAGGACAGUGGAACUCCAUGUGUAGCGGUGAAAUGCGUAGAUAUAUGGAAGAACACCAGUGGCGAAGGCGGCUGUCUGGUCUGCAACUGACGCUGAGGCUCGAAAGCAUGGGUAGCGAACAGGAUUAGAUACCCUGGUAGUCCAUGCCGUAAACGAUGAUUACUAAGUGUUGGAGGGUUUCCGCCCUUCAGUGCUGCAGCUAACGCAUUAAGUAAUCCGCCUGGGGAGUACGACCGCAAGGUUGAAACUCAAAGAAUUGACGGGGGCCCGCACAAGCGGUGGAGCAUGUGGUUUAAUUCGAAGCUACGCGAAGAACCUUACCAGGUCUUGACAUCUUCUGACAGUCUAAGAGAUUAGAGGUUCCCUUCGGGACAGAAUGACAGGUGGUGCAUGGUUGUCGUCAGCUCGUGUCGUGAGAUGUUGGGUUAAGUCCCGCAACGAGCGCAACCCUUAUUACUAGUUGCCAGCAUUAAGUUGGGCACUCUAGUGAGACUGCCGGUGACAAACCGGAGGAAGGUGGGGACGACGUCAAAUCAUCAUGCCCCUUAUGACCUGGGCUACACACGUGCUACAAUGGAUGGUACAACGAGUCGCGAAACCGCGAGGUUAAGCUAAUCUCUUAAAACCAUUCUCAGUUCGGACUGUAGGCUGCAACUCGCCUACACGAAGUCGGAAUCGCUAGUAAUCGCGGAUCAGCAUGCCGCGGUGAAUACGUUCCCGGGCCUUGUACACACCGCCCGUCACACCAUGAGAGUUUGUAACACCCAAAGCC